UAAUUGUGGGUUUGACGGGCGUGAUUGCCGAGUAAUCUGCGAUGAGCGGCCAUAAAUAACGUACACAAAAGCGAUUAUAAAAUUAAAAUGUAUCCAAUUUGUAAUGUGAAGAUCGUUAACAAUGAAAUCAAAUGGGCCCUUUUGAACUGCAGACAAGAAACAUGACUAAUGACAGCAUUGUACUACGCAUUAGCAUCAUAAGCCCAAUAUGAGAAUUUUAGUCAAAUGAUUUAAAUAAGCAAACUGGACGUGAAUCGCACCUUUGUUGGUGAUGGACUUGUUCGAUUGUAAAGUUAUGUAGGAGAAACUAGAGAGUUUAAAAGUAUUUUUUUACGUCGUGAUAAAAAUGAACGCCAUGUCGAGCUAAGCAGAGGCGUGUUUUCACGUAUACGAAGAAGUUUAGUCGAAGUGCUGUGAUUAUCGAGCAAUUGUCGUUGAAGAUAAGCCUUUCUUUAAUGUCCUCAAGUUAUCAGUUAAAGGGAGUUUCUUCACGACAAAGUAAACAACAAGUAAAGUGAUUUAACUUAAGGUAAUUAGAACUAUUUAAAUUUAAUUUGUUAAUCGAUCGCUCGUUGCGUGGUACAUGGUCUACCUGGCCCUGAGGUCCUCCUUUUAUUUUAAAUUUUAAUGAUUUUUGUCAAAUAAAUUUGUUUUUUCUGUAAA